CUCAUGUUUCUCUCAAAUCCCUCCCAAUCAAGCUCUCUUAAAAGUUUACACAGAAAAUUCUCUCCCCUUCUCUUUCAAGCUGAGCGGAGCAGCUAGGGCUCCGCCGCCGCGGUUGCCGAAGUUCCGGGGAGGAGCGCCGGCCUCGCCCGCUUUAAUUCCUCCGCCUGAAACCCUAGGGCCCAGAUCUAAACUCCACCCUCUUCGACCUAAAAUUCUAACUUCCUUCCAAAUCGUCUGCUCUCCACCCUGUCAAAUUGUCUCUCUCAAACCAGUGAAGAAAACGCAAGAGAAAAUCCUAACUUUCUUCCAAAUCGGAAUCCUCACUGCAGCGGUUGAUGCCGCCGCCGACGAGCAGUUGUUGCUUCCGAUUCUGGCGCCGCAUCUACUUUCUCGGACCCUCUCUCUCGAUUCACCUCUCUCAAUCAAAGAAAUCAACUGAAACAGGAAAGGGAAGGAAGCCCUAAUUUUGCCACCCCUGUCAUCUGCUAUCCCUAGGCGCCGCUACUGCACCGCCUGCCACGUCGCGCCGCCCUUCUUGUCUGCUAACCCUAGCCACGGCGAGCAGCGCCACCUGCUCGUCGCCGCCCCUCUCGUCUGCUUACCCUAGCCACCGCGACCAGCGCCGCCUACUCGUCGCGCCCCUCUCAUUGUUGGACUUGUACAUUUACGAUUAUUUGGUGAGAAAAAACAUGCAUACAACAGCUGGAAUCUUAGUCGAAGAGGCUGAUCUUCAGCCCAAGUCUGUUGUUAUCAAUCCUCCUGAAGGAUUUCUGUCUGAGUGGUGGUCCUUAUUUUGGGAUGUAUACUCUUCUAAACUUCCGAAGAAUCCUCAGGGAGAACAAGCCAGCACAUCAAAGCUACCUAUGAAUGGUGGACCUGUGCUGCAAAAUCCUCGGACCUGUUAUGUUACAUAACUGUUUUGAUAUGCUUAUGAUUAUCUGUUGCAUGUUAUAAUUUGUAUCUCUAUUUGCAAUGAUUUGUUCUGGGGGGAAUUGAAGCACAAAGUUCUUUAUAACCAGGUUUUUCACUUCAGAAGUGAUAAGUGGUAAAUGGUCUUUGAUUCAAGAUGCUAAUAUGUUCUUUGAUGUGUGAUCUGGUCUUGCAGCCGUCGUCAGAAGAAAGUUAGUAGCAAGCGGCAGUGUCCUGUUAUCAAUGAUGUCAACUAUAGUACUGGUUCGAUGAGAUCUAUCCAUUUGGAGCUAACUCCUUAUCCACCAAAGCUGAUACAGGAUGACAUCGGACAUGCAGAUGCUGUUGGUUAGUGAUAGGAGGACUUGCAUGCUUGAUGUCGGAAAUUGGUCAAGCUGUGGGUAUCUUUUUACACUUUAUGUAUUGUUUACUAUACAUGAAGGAGCAGGUUAACUCAUUCAUUCUCUUUUACUAUUUUUUUAAUUAACAGAAAGAAAAGCAGAUAUCUCUCUUUUUUCAUUAUCUAAAAUUAAUAUUCAUUUUCUACUGCAGUUUGUUUGGAUGGAAGUCCACCUUCAUAUGCCUAUCACCAGGGAUUCGAAAGUGGAUCUAAAAGUCGGGUUGUUUUUAUGGAGGUUACUUUUCACAGGAAGGCCAAGCAGGUUACUUUUCACAGGAAGAACUUGCAGGUUACUUAUUAAGUUAAUACUAAUCCAUCUUUCUCUGGUUGCACUGAUUCUAACUUGCACUUUGUCGAGUCACAUGUUCUACCCUUAGAAGCUUGAGAGAGGUUGUUGAGCUGCUGAAACUCAUCAAAGUUGGAGCAUGAAGGUGCUUCUGUGAAGUUUCUUUUUUUUUUUUUUUUUUUUUGAGUUAGGCUCAAAACAUUAUGUAUGAAGGUUUUGGAUGAUAAUGUAUGAAGGUUUUGUGUUAUAUAUAAUAUAUGUUAUUGAUGA